GACCAGAGAGAGAGAGACCAGAGAGAGAGAAGUGAGAGACCAGAGAGCGAGAGACCAGAGAGAAAGAGAGGGAGAGAAAGAGACCAGAGAGCGAGAGACCAGAGAGAGAGAGAGCGAGAGACCAGAGAGAAAGAGAGCGAGAGACCAGAGAGAAAGAGAGCGAGAGACCAGAGAGAAAGAGAGGGAGAGACCAGAGAGAAAGAGAGCGAGAGACCAGAGAGCGAGAGACCAGAGAGCAAGAGACCAGAGAGAAAGAGAGCGAGAGACCAGAGAGAAAGAGAGCGAGAGACCAGAGAGAAAGAGACCAGAGAGCGAGAGACCAGAGAGAGAGAGAGCAAGAGACCAGAGAGAAAGAGAGCGAGAGACCAGAGAGAAAGAGAGUGAGAGACCAGAGAGAAAGAGAGAGAGAGAGACCAGAGAGCGAGAGACCAGAGAGAAAGAGACCAGAGAGCGAGAGACCAGAGAGAGAGAGAGCAAGAGACCAGAGAGAGAGAGAGCAAGAGACCAGAGAGAAAGAGAGCGAGAGACCAGAGAGAGAGAGACCAGAGAGCGAGAGACCAGAGAGAGAGAGAGCAAGAGACCAGAGAGAAAGAGAGCGAGAGACCAGAGAGAAAGAGAGCGAGAGACCAGAGAGAAAGAGAGAGAGACCAGAGAGAAAGAGAGCGAGAGACCAGAGAGCGAGAGACCAGAGAGCGAGAGACCAGAGAGAAAGAGAGCGAGAGACCAGAGAGAAAGAGAGAGAGAGAGAGACCAGAGAGCGAGA
rnacentral:lncRNA from 1 species